UGGACAUGGGUCUGAGCAAGCUCCGGGAGCUGGUGUUGGACAGGGAAGCCUGGCCUGCUGCUGUCCAUGGGGUUGCAAAGAGUUGGACACGACUGAGCUGCUGAACUGAACUGAGCUCAGACAUGACUGUGGUGUAAUCUUUAAGAUCACCACCAGAGGGCGGGGCUUCCUUCAAAUGCGAUUCCUUUUUGUAUUCAGGAGCUGGUUUGACUUGCUUCCUCUGUAGCCACAAGACAGAUGACUGCUGCUGUGCAGAAAGGGGUCCCCAUUUUCUGAGUGAGGAGCUUCUGUAACAUCCAGCUGAAGACUAACUUUGCUAGAUUUGAUGUUUCUAGGGAACAAGGACUGUGGCCAGAAUGUUUUCUGCCCCUCACUCAGUUCUGGUCAUCUUCUUAAUACUUGGGCUGCGUGGAGAAGACCGAGUGGAGCAGAGUCCUCAGACCCUGAGAACCCAGGAGGGGGACAGUCUCAGUCUCAAUUGCAGCCACAUCGUCAGCAGCUUCAGAGGGCUACUGUGGUAUAGACAAGACCCCGGGAAGGGCCCUGAACUCCUCUUCCUUCUUUACUCAGCUGGGGAUGAAAAGCAGAAAGAAAGAUUGAGAGCCACCUUGUUAAAGAAGAGAAGUUCUCUGUACAUCGAAGCCCCCAAACCCGAAGACUCAGCCACUUACCUCUGCGCUGUGCAGACACAGUGCUCCCCAGGCACCUGCAGACUGUACUCAAACCCUGAGGCUGCGGCUCUAGAAUAAGGGCGUCUUUGCUGUUUUCCUUCCUCCUGAGCAACCAGAGACUCUUCCCAAGUGGUCCUAUGGAGAA